AUGCAGCCUCCACCUCCCAGGUUCAAGCCGUUCUCCUGCCUCAGCCUCCUGAGUGUAGCUGGGACUAUAGGCACUCACCACCAGGCCCAGGAGGCUGAGGCAGAAGAAUUGCCUGAACCAGGAGGCAGAGGUUGUGGUGAGCCGAGAUCACGCCAUUGCACUCCAGCCUGCAUAACAAGAGCGAAACUCCGUCUCAAAAAAAUAAAAAGAAGUUAUUGAACUUCACGAUAACAGCAGGAAGUUUCCAUAAGUCUGCUAGUUUUGCACUAGUGAUACUUUUCUAUUUCGCACUACUUGACCUCUUGUCUCUAAAGGCCCUUAGAUGGAAUAUUCUCAUUUCCGCCAAUUCUUGGACUGGCCAACUCUUCUAAAAGACUAAACCAAGGCCAAAUUUCUCCUUCUACCUCCAAGCAGGCUGAGGUCUCCCUGCACCAUUAUUCAACCCUAUUCAUUUCUCUCUUAUUUCAUUUACCACAUGGAGUUUAAUUGCUGUAAUAGACGUGUCAUCUUUCUGAGAACAAUUGCUUAUUUUAACAGAGAGAUGACUAGUUUCUUAUUAACUUUGACAACCAUCAAGUAUCCCAGUGGCUACUUCACAGCAGCUGCUUAAUGUUAUGUUGAAUACCUGAAUAAAAUCAGGACUACGGAAAAAUGCCUGCAUCAGAGUGCUCUCUGAAUGUCCAAUUGUCUCCCAGAUUCCUUCCCAGAAAUAAAAAAGAAACUAAGCACUCAUGACAAACCCUCGAUCCUUAGUUUGACGGGUCUUAGUUCUUCCAAGUAAGCCCAAGUAAGGUAGGAAAAUUCUUUCUUUUUCUUUUCUGCUUAUGUUUCCUCAAUCCUUUUUGAAUUCCUGAGUAGCUUGGAGAAAAUAAUUUGAAGUGGGUUACAAAGUCUUCCAUCUAUUUUAAAAUUUUUUAUUACAUUUCAACCAAAUGUAUUUUUCGUAUCUUUAUGGAAUUGAAUUAAUGAUGCAAUUACAAAGCAGAGAAAGAAGUAAAGAAAUAUCUAUUUUGACCACUUACUGUGCUCCCAACUGUGAGAUAGGGACUCUGGGUCUAUUAUCUCAUUCAAUUCUCCUGAUAGCCCUGAGAGGGAGGUAUACUUAUUACCAUCUUAAGAGUUCAAAGAAAACAGAAACAAAAUUCUGAAGCACAGCUACAUUCUUAGUGUGAGGGCUAACUAACUUUUUAAAGGACUGUGAACAAUUGAAGUCAUACGUUUUGCAGUUAUGGAAUUCUUUUAGACCAGUGCUAGGAUUCUUUGCUAUUGCCUGGUUGAAAUUACCAUGAAAUGAGAUUUUUCACAAGGCCAUUUUUGUUUUGAGUUUUAGUGAUUUAUGGGAAUAGAAUUUAAUAAAAUUUAAACAAUGCAGAAACUAAGAGAUUGAAAGAAAAAUAGAAAUGUAUAGAAAUGGAGAAAAAGAAAGAAAAUAUAAUUAUUUUAGAGGGAAUAACUGGUAGGUCAUGUAGCUCAAUGCCUGAUAUUUAUGUAGUUUCAGAUUUAUACUUUUGGAGGGUCAGUGGUAUAUACACACAUAUACAAAUGAAAUAUUUUGGGGGAGAAUUAGUGGCCUAUUUAUACAUCGAUCACUGAAAAUUUUCAGCAGUGUGAUAAAGAAUCUCAGUAAACAGGGUAAAUCUUUUACCUCACCUGCCAGUCUCCUUAUCUGUAAAUACAUGGGCUCAGUAGAUCCCCUGUGAGGACUUUUUCUACUCAAAUAUGUUGUGAUUUUUUAAGGUUUUUAGUUUUGACUACAUUUUGAUACAGUUAUUAAUUAACAGGAACAUGACUAGUUUGUAGGAAAAGUCAGGAGAAGAAUGUAAAAAACGUAACACCCAACAAACUGGAAAAAAUUAGUCCCUUAAUAAACAAUAAAUUAUCUGACUUUUUAUGAAGUAAUUUCCAUUCUUUUGAUAUUUACAUAUAUUUUCAGGGUCCUUUUGUUUUUAUAUUUCUGAGCUCAUUUCAAUUAUGUUAAACUUUAGAGAUUUUCCCACAGAAGUGCUGCAAAUUCUUUUAAUGAGUUUGAUUAGUAAAAAGCUGCAUUCAAAACUGGAAUUAUUAAAAUUAAUUUUAAACCUCUAAAGAUAUAUUUCUAAGCAGAUGGGAGAAUAUUUAGGCUAUUAAACCUAAUCCAUAAAUCACCAUAUAGGGUAAUGAGACUUUAAUGUUCUCUUCAAUUUUUCCAUUAAUUUGAAGUGUCCAGAGUGUUCAGAUAAGUUAUUUUGGUAUAAUCACUAUGGAGCAAAUAGGCCUCUGUUGCUAUGGAAAACUAAUUUCUUAAGUGUGUGUUUUUCCUUCUGUAUUGAAAUCUCUAGUUCCUUUACCAUACUCCCAUAAUCUUGCAUAACAAAAUGGAUAAGUAUUCCAAUUUUGCAUUUUAUUAAAAUUAUUGAUAUACAAAAACAAGUAUCAGAGAUUAUGUAAGAACAAAAUGAAAAAGAAAUAAAAGUUUAACUUUAAGAUAUCAUAAUACUGUAGCUACUAAGAAUCAGAGCCUAUCAUUAAUUCAUAUGCUUCUGAAUCAUUUAUAUGUCAUGAUCCAGAGAUAACAGCCUGAUUAUAUAACUUGAUGGAAAAGUUAGAAAUUUCAUCUUUAAAUAUGAAUGUCAAGGUUUCCAGAAGUUGUGUGCCUUUGAAUAUUAGUACCACAUGAUGCUCCAAGAAGAUAAAUUUGAGAAAUGCUUUCUUAGAGAUACAGUAUUUACAUAUGCAUUACAUAUAUUACAUGUAAAUCCUGCAGUGAAGAAAUGUUUAAUCAAGCUUAACAAAAUAUUUUACUAACUUGAUCUUGGAACAACUAUUUUCGUAUUUAAGAUGUUAGUCUAUUUUGGAAACUGUUUUAUGAAACUCACUCAGAGAAAUAUUGCAAUAUGUCAAUAAUCCAAGCUUUGAUCAUGAUUUAAUUUCCAACCUACUUAUAUAAGGAUCUGUAAAUAUUAUUGUAACCGGGUUUCUGGAUGCAGAAGAGGGCGGAGAGGCGUCUGAAGAUUCUCCCAAUUCCCUGAUAGGAAGGGGGAUGCA
rnacentral:lncRNA from 1 species